rnacentral:lncRNA from 1 species
UUCUCUAAGUUUUGGUAGCUUGGCAAUCAUUUGGAGGCAGCCAUGAGAAGUGUUGAGAUUAGAUAUGGAGUGGAAGGAAAGAUGGGUUAAAGAAAUGAGAUUAGACAGCCAAUGAUCUCCAUCGCCAAUUUUGAGAGCACCAUCAACGUCAUUGGCAAGAUAAAGCUUCUGCAAAUUUGAAAGGUUCCCAAGUUGGGACGGUAUACUUCCUUCAAAAGAAUUGUAGCUGAGAUCAAGAUGCUGCAACUGGGAGAGAUUUCCAAGUUGAGGUUGGAUUGAACCCUCCAGAUAAUUAUUCCCAGCAAGAUUUAAGUAUUUCAAAUUAGAAAGAGAGCCAAACUGAGUUGGAAUUUUCCGCCAAAAUAACAAUAUGACAGAUCAAGGUAUCUCAAGUUGCUCAGAGAACCAAGAAACUCUGGGAUUCCUCUCUCUAGAAAAGAAUUCGAACUGAGGUCUAAAUAGUAUAACUGUUGCAACUCCAUCAACGACUUGUGGAUCUCUCCCCUCAUAUAACGUUGCGAGACAAUUCCAUAUGCAUAAUUAAUUUCACCGUGAAGGUCGAGCAUUAGAAUAUGGGAGGUGAGGUAAUUGAUCAAAUAAAUUCAAUAUUAGAAUUAGAAUGAUACUGGUGAGUUUAGCACUGUAUAUAUAUUAUUCUCUGUUGAAAAAGUUAGUUUCGCCAUAUUAUAUAUAGAUGUAAAAGUUAGUUUCGCCAUAUUAUAUAUAGAUGUUUAUAUACAUUGCAAGAUACUUAUAGUCCUAAAUAAAAAAAAAAAAAACUAAUUAUGAAAGGCACCGCUUCGGGAAUUAUGCGACCUUGUUGAUUUCUUUUUCUGUGAUGGUGAAAAGUUGAUCAAAUAAAUUCAAUAUUAGAAUUAGCCAUGCAUAUAUAUAACAUCGGGAUGGUUAAUGGAAGACACAUUUGUCAACAGUUAGGCCACUCAUAUACUGAGUCAUUCGCCCAUAAUUUCUUCCAAGUAUCCAAGUCUUCUUCGGUACAUCAUCAGUCUCAACAGUCAUUUUCAUAGAUUUUUUUAUAAAAUAUUUUACCAUUUCUAAAAUAGAAACUAGCAAAAUUUUGUCAUGACCCUAAAUCAGUUUAUCUUUUCUAGAGCUAACUUUUUAGCAUUUCUACUGAUCAUAAAACAAACUAAUUAAUACCAACAACUAAAGCAAGCAAUGCAUUAAUGCAUAUCCUAAUUACUCGGCCAGAAAAUUAGUUACAGAAAUAUAUAUAGAUAAUUAGAUAUAUCAGCCUCAGCAAAAAAAAAAAAAGAUAAUUUUUCUGGUUCUAUUCCAGUUUAAAAAAUAUAGUGUAGUAGUAGUAAUAGUUACUACAUAUCUUGGCUUAAUUAAACAAGCAAGAGCUGCACCUCUUCCACGAUCUCUUGAGAAUAAAAAUCUUCAAGGUUAACUAUUAGAAACAAUAAAUAUCUGUUUGAGUGGAGUGUAAAUCAUACUCUAGACUCUAGUACACUUUCCUUGUCACUGGAAAGUCCGGUAACAACAAGAGGGAAGGACUCGAAAAGGGCACCAAGAGUAUCAAACAGACUAAACAUACACAAAGAGGAACAAAGUAGAGGGAAACAUAACAAAAAUUGAAUUUCAUCGUUAACAGGAAGCUGAAUAUUAAGUCAUGAAUAAAAACCACACAAAGCCAAAGCCUUAACAAGACAUUAUAUUAAACCAAAAACCUCUGCAGAAUUUAGAUACUUUGCAUUCUUUAAUAACUGGUUCUUUCAAAAGUUUAACAUUUUUGUAUCAAAUGGUCCAAAGGUGUGCGCGCGCGCGUAUAAAAUUAAUAUUCAUAGACCUUAAAACAAAUCUUAAAAAUUAUGUUUGAUCUUGCUUUUUUGGCUAGAGUGGAAAGCUUAGCUUUUCUGUUUGGGACACCACUACAAGGACUAUUAACAACAUAUUUUUGUUAACACAUAGUAAAAAUAUUAUAAAAAUUUAAUAAAAUGUUAAAAAAAUAUUAGAAACAUUUAUUUAUAUUUUUUGAUAUUUUUUAAAUGUUACUAUGGUGGAGAACAUGAAGGUGGUUUUGGCGUUGAAUGAGGACAGAGAUGGGUUUGUGAGUGGGACUGAGUUGGGGGACUGAGUUAGGGAAAUCAUGAACUCGGUCUAAGGAAAAGAGAUUAGACAGAGGGUUUUUGAGGUGAAAAUAGGUGCCAAGAAAGCGAGAGUAGAUCCGAGGCUCUUCACUUGUUGCGUUCCAAAGGUUGGUUAAGCUGUGGAAGCAAACUUUUAUAUAUAUAUAUAUAUAUAUAUAUAUAUAUAUAUAUAUAUAUAUAUAUAUAAUGUGAUAAAUAGAGAAAAUUAAAAUAGUGGAGUGUUUAUUCUGCGUUAAGUUAUGGACCAGAGGUUGAUCCCUUGUCACACUCGUCUUUUCUUUAAUUUUGCCUUUUCGCAUCUUGUUAUACUAUUGUGCUUUAGUUAUUAAAAAAGAAAAAUAAAAUAAUGUAGAGUGGUGAUGUAAGUAAACAAUUAAUUACUAUUUCUAUAAAUUUUGGAUUAUAUAUAUAUAUAUAUAUAUAUAUAUAUAUAUAUAUAUAUAUAUAUGUUAAUAAAAUUAUCCUAUAUUAUAUUUUUUAUAAUUAAACAACAACACGAAAUACCUUUUAACUAUUGUCCAUCCAUUUGUCACCACUUCCAAAAAAGAAAUGUUGUCGUAACACUCAUUUUUGUAUAAUAUAUUUUUUAUCAUAAAUGAAAUAUUAUUUUAUUAAUUCUCACCCAACAAGAUGUAUAAGGUACGGGAAUGGGUUGACCAGCCUAGACUAUAAAAAGAAACACUCAAUAUUAAAUAAAUCAUACUUAAAUUAAAGUGCAUGAGCCAUGAAUAUUUUUUGUUUUUAAAUUUAGAAAAUUAAUAUGAUACUCCAUCAUUGUUUAAAAUUUAGAACCUUUUUUAAUUUUAAGUUGGUUUGACUAAUACUAUUUACUUAUAUAUUUUCAAGAACCUUACCAUCGAAUUACUUUGAAUCAAAGUUGGUGUUGUUAGAUAUUACUGACUUCUCAGUGAAGGUAAUUUCUCAUGGCUUCUAUUUUUAUUUGAUUUAUCUGGUCGAAUACAUAUUUUCUUACCUUUUACGUUUUCCCUUGUACAGUUGCAGAAUAAAUUUGAAUGUUCUAGAAAAGAACCACUAAGUUUACUCUGCACCAUUCUGUCAUUCUUGACAUGUUCUAGAAAUCAUGUAAUUUUUUGUUCAUAGUGAUAUUUUUGUGACUUAUUUGCUUCUGUUUACACAGUCUUUCAAAAGGUCAAUAUCCGAGGCCACUUUUGGAGCGAAUGUCUGGAUUGUUUGGUUCCUUUUCAAUGAUUUCUUCAACAGAAGAAACAAAACGUACUAAAGGAAAUAACAGUCAACUUUUACAGUAUGAAAUUUUUUGUUCUAUAAUUACCUGUUAUAGAGUUUGGUAGUUGAAGACUUCAAGAUAUGAAAGAUUUUAUAAUGCAUGUAUUGCUUUGACAUCUGGUAAGUUCCAAUCCUUCAUAUUAUAUAAAUAGCACUUCUUCCCAAUGUGGUCCAACAUUCCCAUGUUAAACUUUAGAACUAUAGGUUACCUUAUUAAGAAAAUAUGGGGUUGCUAAUCUGAAAGAUUAAUUUGAACAUCUACUUUUUAUUCUGUUGUGUACCCUGCAAGCUUCUUUUCAAUGUACUGCUUUAAAUAGUAAACUAACCGGUCAAUUUCUUAGUUCAUCUGUAAAGAUGAAAGGUAUUGAUACUAUUUCCAAGGAAGUUUGUAGAAGUUUUGAACUAGGGUUAGCAAGAAGAAAUCUGAUACAUGAAAAUCCAUAUUAUGAAUUUAUGAUUAUUCUGCAAACUCUAGGAGGAAAAUAGUCUCUCUACAAGUUUCUUGUUUAAACUAUGGUAAAUGUCAUGUAGCUGAAUGCUAGAUGCCUUGUCUUGUUUUCACUAAUGCAUGAAAUAUCAAUGUUCUCCUCCAACAUUUUGCUCACUUCUUUGAAUUAUGUUUGCAGCUCCUUUAAAGCGCACAAGUAGUUUUUGUUUUGAUGAAAAGCUCUUUGUGCAGUCACUUUACAAGGUGAUUUAAUUACUGAAAACAUACGUAAAUUGUAUCUAACGUCAACCUUUGUUGGCAAAAUUUACAUGAGAUGAGUAUAUGAAAGAUAUUCAGUUCCAAGAUAAUAGAAACCACCUUGCUAAAGUUUGUAGCAAAUGACAUUGAUUGUGAUGACUUGAACUCAAUCUGCCAUGCAGACACUAUCUUACUCAGUAAUUAUAUUGAAGAAAUUGAAGUAUCUGCAAUAUCUUACCAUUUGAUCCGGAGUACCGAAAUGGAAAGCUAGUUAUAUCAGCCAAUAGGUAAAUACUUGUCCAAUGACUAUGUAAAUUAAUUACGUACGUGACCAGAUUUUCUAGUUACUGAUCUUGGAUAUGAACAGUUUGUCCCAUGGAUUGAGUCUGUUCCAGUAAGGCAAGAGUAGUGGGAAUCAGAAGACAAAUUAAUCUAACAAGGAACGCGUGUUUACAUCUAUUUAUCACCACAGGAAUAGCGGAUAAGCACAAGGAAAAACAAUGGUGGAGAGUGCCUAUCAAUAUUUAAUGUUUUUCAGUUAUACUAUUAUUGCUCUUGUAACUUGUGAAUCAUAACUCUCUUGCCUUUUUAUUGUUGAACAGGAUCUUGGUUGGUCUUCCAUCUGUUGAGUACAGGGAAAUGAUCUUGAAGACUCUUUUGGCUAAAGAAAAACAUAAAAACUUGGACUUCAAAGAGCUGGCAACCAUGACAGAAGGAUAUACUGGAAGUGAUCUUAAGGUGAAUUUUGGUGGCAAUUUACUGGUUUUAUUUUUUUGGGGAAAAUAAAUUGAUGCUAAUUUCUGUGAACAGAAUUUGUGCAUCACUGCGGCUUAUCGACCUGUUAGAGAGCUAAGACAGCAGGAGAGAAUGAAGGACAUGGUAGUUAUUAAACAGCUUCUACUAUUUUAAGUUUAACAUCUAUGUCCAUGCAUACUUUGGUAUGAGCUUAACUAAAUAUCUAUUCCAUGAUAUAUUAGGAAAAGAAGAAAAGAGAAGCAGAAGGCCAAAGCUCUGAGGAUGCUUCAAACAAUAAAGAUAAGGAAGAACAAGAAAUUACCCUGACACCUUCAAACAUGGAAGACAUGAGACGGGCUAAGAGUCAGGUACGGUGAAUUUAAAAUUUCUCUCAAAUGGUUUUGGAGUACUUGAUUUGGGAAUUUGUACAAUACUGCACGAAGUAUUUAAAAGUGGAUAUUUGUUAAAAUCGAGGAAUUAAAAAAUGCUGGUUCAAUUGAAUACGGCGAUGGAUAUAUGGCACUAGGGUCAUCUGAUCCAUUUUUAUUUCCACUUAAAAUGGUAACUUGUACAUGUAAGUUGUAACCAAGGAUUUCAUACUAACAAUGUCACACAAGUGGAAGAAGGAAAGUGUGUAUUUCCAAUAGAAUAUCUUUUCCCAUGUACAUGAACUUACAGAUAUCUGAUUAAAUGCAAGUGGCUGCAGGUUUGGCAUCAGAAGGAUCCGUAAUGAAUGAGUUGAAGCACUGGAAUGAUUUGUAUGGUGAAGGAGGUUCAAGGAAGAAACUGUUGGUAGUUGAUUAAAUGAUAGUUGAUAGUUGAUAGUUUUAGAGAAUUAUUUUAAAAAGAAGGCUAUGUCAUUGAUUUCUUGGAUUAUCAAUUACAACAUACCAAUUGCCUAUUUAUAGACUCAAGUCACCAACCUCUUAAUGGUGGUGAAUGUUUCUACAUUACUUUAGGUUUUUCUAGAUUUUCAUGAUAGAUUAAUAUUAUGAUAGUUCUAGAUUCUUCUAUCUUAUACAUACACUUAUAGUUCUAGACUGUUCUACCAUAUUUAUACACAUUAUAGUUCUAGAUUGUUCUACCAUAUUCAUACACACUAUAGUUCUAGGAUAUUCUACCAUUUUCAUACAUAUUAUAUUUAAGAAUGUUCUAGAAAUUUGUAGCAAUUUCAACACUCCUCCUUGAUGCAAAUUUCUGUGACUCCAAGCAUAGCUCGUAAUUCUUCAAAUCUUGGUCUCGGCAGAGACUUCGUGAAUAUGUCUGCAAUUUGAUCUUCUAUUCUGCAGUAGUCGAGUUUGAUCUCUUUAGUCGCUUCAGCUUCUCUGAUAAAGUGAUACUUGAUUGCUAUGUGAUUUGUUCUGCUGUGAUGAACUGGAUUCUUCGCCAUUGCAAUUGCUGAUUUGUUGUUGCAGUUGAUUUUAGUAGGCUCAUCUUGUUUUUCUCCCAUGUCUUCAAGUAUCCUACGAAGUCAUAUAGCUUGACUCAUUGCAAUUUGAUCUUCUAUUCACAAAAUAUUUGAUCUUCUAUUCACAAAAUAUUUUCAGCAAGGGCCUUGAAAUUUUUGAAUACUCCAAAGACUUCUGAUUUUUCUUUUAGAAAAUAUACCCAUGUCAUUCUAGAGAAGUCAUCAAUGAAGAGUAUAAAAUACCUGUUGUUCUCAUGUGAUGGCGUCCUCAUUGGUCCACAGACGUCCGUAUGUAUCAGCUCCAAUAGAUCUUUCGCUCUCCAUGCUCCGCUUGUUGAGAAAGGAAAUCGGUGUUGCUUACCAAGGAGACAUCCUUCACACACUUCAUUGUUCUCCUUUAUGCUUAGAAGAUCUCUCAUCAUGUUCUUCUCAUGUAACAACUUCAAGGCAUGUGUGUUGAAGUGGCCAAAUCUUCGAUGCCAUAGCCAUGAAUCAUCAACUUGUACCUUCAUGGUAAUGUUUGUUGCAUAUUUUAAAUUUAGAGGGAAGCUUCUAUUGCUCUUAUUCAUCUUUACUUGGGCUAUCUCAGACCUUUUAUUAUUGUUGUCUAAGAUUUUGCAUACACCUCCUUCAAAGUGAAGUGUGUAGCCUCUCUCCAUCAUUUGGCCAAUGCUUAAAAGAUUUUCUUUUAGGUUGGGAACUAGUAAGACAUCAUGGAUGAGUCACGUACCUUUAUCUGUCUCCACCAUGACAGUGCCUUUGCCUUUUGAUUCAACCACACUUCCAUUUCCCAGUCGAACUUUGACUUUGACAGACUCGUCAAUGCUUUUGAAAAUAGUCUCAUUCUUGGCCAUGUGAUUGCUACAUCCAUUAUCCAAGUACCAGCUUCCUCCCUUUUCUUUUAUUGAGUCUUGAGUGGCGUAGAACGUACAUUGUUCUUGAUCAUGCUCCUCUGCGAUAUUGGCUUGAUGUCUAUUUUUGUGGCGAUAAUUUUUCUCUAUGUGCCCGAACUUCUUGCAAUGGUUGCAUUGUGGCAUAUUACGGAACCAACAAUUUUUCUCUGCGUGGCCUUGCCUUUUGCAUAUAAUGCAUGGAGGAUUUUUAUCUAUUUUGUUCUUAAGGAAAUUCCUAGAACCUUCUCUUCUUCUGGAAGUUUCUCCAUAAUUUUUCUUUCCUCCAUUUUCUUUGUUUUGGGACUAAAAUUUAAACUUUGACUGGAAGGCAUUUUCAUUUGUAUAUUUUUUAUGCCUAUACAGUCUUUGCUCAUAUGCUUCAAGAGAGCCCACCAGUUCUGUCUCUGAUAGAGUGGACAGAUCUUUGGUUUCCUCAAUCGUUGUCACGAUUGGGUCAAACUUUUGGGGCAUAGUAAUUAGAAUUUUCUCAACAAUUUUCUUGUCAAGAAUAUCUUCCCCAAAAGUUCUCAUUUGAUUAACUAUUUCUUUAACUUUAGAAUAGUAAUCUUUAACUGUCUCAGACUCCUUCAUCUUCAAUAGUUCAAAAUCUCUUCUUAGAGAUUGAAGUUUAACGGCACGUACCUUAACACUUCCUUGAAAGUCCUCCUGCAAUGUGUUCCACGCUUCUUUGGCAGUCUUAGUUCCCAUAAUUCUUGGGAAAAUUGGAUCAGUCACCGCUUGUUGCAAGGUGAACAACGCCUUUGAAUUUUUCUGUUUAUUUUUCUUCAACUCUUUUACUUGAGAUGCAUUAAGAGCUGAAGUAUCCGCGGAAAUGGUGAAACCUUCUUCUAUUAUGUCCCAUAAAUCUUGAGAUGAAAAAUAUGUUUCCAUUUUAACACGCCAGAAAUCAUAAUUUUCACCAUUGAAGAUAGGGACAAAAAUAGUUGACGAUUGAGUAGUGUUAUCCAUAGCUUAGAAAAAAUAUUAUUAGAGUGGGUUAAUAGUACAAAGGAAAUUUUUGAAGUAGUUGGGAAAAUUUUGGAAUGGUAGGUAGGUAAUAUAACUACGCCCAAUGUAUGACCGAACGUAGCUCUGAUGCCACUGUUGGUAGUUGAUUAGAUGAUAGUUGAUAGUUGAUAGUUUUAGAGAAUUGUUUUAGAAAGAAGGCUAUGUCAUUGAUUUCUUGGAUUAUCAAUUACAACAUACCAAUUGCCUAUUUAUAGGCUCAAGUCACCAACCUCUCAAUGGUGGUGAAUGUUUCUACAUUACUUUAGGUUUUUCUAGAUUUUCAUGAUAGAUUAGUAUCAUGAUAGUUCUAGAUUCUUCUAUCUUAUACAUAUACUUAUAGUUCUAGACUGUUCUACCAUAUUUAUACACAUUAUAGUUAUAGAUUAUUUUACCAUAUUCAUACACACUGUAGUUCUAGGAUAUUCUACCACUCCUCCAUCAGUGCCAACUUUGCCAAUCACCGCUGCUCACACCACUCUACCAGAGGGUGCAAUUAGCAUUACCCAUCUAGCAAGCAUCAUAGCCUGUGACGCCCGGAUACGUGAAAAAAGGAAAAAUAUCAGUGUCACACUCGUAUCCGAUACCGAUACUCCACGGAUACGGCUGGAUACGUAUCCUAGGAGUAUCCAAUUUUUAUUUUUUUUUUAUUUUUUAAAAUACAAGAAACGACUGGGAUACGGCUUAGAUACGGCUUCCUAAGGCUAGACACGGCUUCAAUACGACUCGGAUACGACUACAACAUUUAACCCUUUUUUUUAUGAUUUUUUAAACGUAGAAGCUUUAUUAUUUCGCAAAACCCAUUUGCUUCCCUUCUUCUCCACGCUUACGAAGCUCAAACCCAUUUUCUUCUCUUCUUCUCCACCUUGUACCUCGAUUCCAUUGAUGAAAGCGUAGGAGUUUGGUUGCGAGGGAGUGAAGCUGAGGAUGAGAAUCUCACCAUCGUUGAUGUUUACCACAUAUUCCCUGAAGAUGGUUUUGGUGGCUUCCGCGUCAGCGUUUAGAGAGGCGUUGAAACCUUUUAAGAAGGUGAAUCCGUUAGAUUGAACGGAGAAAGAGGCAUCAGUGCGGGGAAAGGAAGGGUAAUAAGCUGGGUAGAAGAAGAGGCGAACGAAUUUGGGGCCCGCAGAAACGGGGAAGGAGUAAUUGAACUGAGAACGGGAUAACCGUGCUGUGGUGUAGGGAACUUGAUUGACAGAAGGAUCUUGUGUUGUUGCUUCAGUUAAAACGGUUCUGCCUUGACCACCAGAUAAGUAUUUUGUGUCUGCGUCCCCCGUCCAUGUCCUUUCGUCGUCGAAUACUAUCCCGGUGGUGCCACAACUGAUGGUGAAGUUGUCUUCUAGGGUAUACGCUUGGAGGUGUAUGGAGAGAAAGAGAAGAAGGAAGAACAGUGUUAAGGAGGUGGUGAUGAUGCUAAGGAGCCUCAUGGGUUUUGGUGAAAAACUACAACUCUAAUAGUCAGUGAAAGGAAACAUUGAUAUUAUGUCCUGAUUUUUCAUGUUUUAUUUUUUUAUAUGAAUUUGAAGCUAUUCUAAUGAAAAAUUUAACCCUUCUAGAAAAAAAUAAUCUGAAACUAUAUAUAAUUUUUAUAUUUUUUUAUUAACGUAUCCAAGACGUACUGUAUCUUUAAUUUUAAAAAUCUGCCAUAUCUUUGUAAUUGUGUCAUAUCGUAUCCAUAUCGUAUCUCGUAUCUAGGCUUCAUAGAUGAUAGCUCUUCCUACUCCAAACAUCUUUGCCCAAGUUUAAGAUCAGUUUUUGCUGCAGUAAUUCACAUUCAAUUCCUUGGCAAUGAAUCCUUUUAAUCUCAUAUAACUUAAUUCCUUAAAUGAAAUCAUGAGACUAAUGUACAAAAGCACAACAAAAUCCCUAGAUCAAACACGGUAUUCUAUUUCUACAUAAUCAAAGAGCAUGACCCAAAAAUCAAGAAACAAUAACCAAAUUAACAUCUCAAUUCCCAUUAUUAUGAACAUUCAUCAACUUCAUACAAAACAACUAGUUCAGAUUUAAAGGCUAAACUACAAACAAAAUGUUUAGAAAUUAAAAAGGAAAAUAAACUAUAUCACAAUCACAAUUGGCUCCCUCAAGCUCUAGAAGCCUUCCUUGAUUCUCUCUCGGUUCCCAAAUCCAACUGUUAGAGAUGCCUUCUCACCUCCAAAAGUGUCUCUUUGCAUUUUCCACCUCAACAAGCAGGCACCUAGAAUUCAGAAUUUUUCUGCCAAAAAUAAAAAUAUCGAUCCUUCAAAAUUUGUCCUCAACUAGAAGUAAUAAAAGAAUAAAGAAAAAAAAUUGAAAUGCCAAGAAAAUGACCAAGACUAAAAGCUAUAUAAAGAAGUAGAAAAUGAGAUAGAAAAACUACCUCAAACUUAUUCUCUAUUUUACACUUAAUAACUUACAAGAAGGAAAAAGAUAUAUCAAGAAAAAAAUAUACGUUAUUUAUAUUGAUUUAUUAUUUAGCGAUUAGAAAAUAGGUUAAAGUAUUUUAAAUGUUUAAUAUAUAUGAAAUGUUUGUGUAAAGAAGUGUUAUAACCUACAUAACAAUCAUCAUUCUUUUAAUUUAUUUAACUAAUACGAAAUGGUAUGAAAAUAAAUAAAAUUCAAUAUAUUAAUUUUAAUAGAUGUCCAUGUAAAAAUCCAAUACAUUGAAUUCUUUGAACUUAAUAUAUGCUUUUCAGAAAAGCGUUUAUAAAAAAUUGAUUAUAUUAUGGGAUCAACAAAAUUCUAAAAGAUGAUUUUUAGUGUGUUAAAAGACAUUUUACGAUAAAAAUAUUUAAAAUAUCAAGAUUUAGAUUCCUCGAAUAUAUAUGUACAACUCAUUUAAUAUAUAUUUUUAAGCAUCGUAUCAUUAUUGAAUAUUAAAUUACAAAUUAGUAUUUUAUAAACAAUCUAAUCUAGAUUUCGGAAAUACAAAACAAAGGCAUGCACGUCCAACUUUUCUUUCUUAUUGUAGCUGCUUGUUCAUCUUUAGUUAAAACUAGUUCAUUAAAAGAUAUAUCAUAUAUGUUCUAGCUAGUAGCUAGUCUUCUUUUAAGAAGAAAAUCGGACUACAACUUGUUUACAUGCGGUGUAAUAGUAAACUAAGAUUCGUGUUGAUGAAUAAUUGCUUUUUUAUUAAUCGAGGAUCUAAAGGUUAAAACAAAAGAGAAAAACGUCAUCUAGUUGUAAACAUUGGUUUGUGACUGCUAUUUAUCAUAUAAAGGAAAAUGAAGUAUAUAUAUGAAGACUAAAAUAUUAUUACCAGCUAUCCUCUGUGACGCCACUUGAAAACUUUCACUGCUGCCAUGACAUAAAUAGCGUCUGAUAAAUUGCUUAUGAACUUGAAAUAAGCAUGUCUCCAAGAACGCUUUAUUAAGAUUGAGCCAAAGACGCCCCAGAAGCUUAUAACAAAUCCAAUUGCCAUACUCAUGUAAAAUUCACAGGUGAACAGCAAUUUUUCAUCUUCAGGUAGUUUAACAAUUGGUUUCUGUGCAGGCUUCCCAUCAACACACAAUUUCUCUAGUGGCGGUCCACAAAGAUCAAGAUUAUCUUCAUAACAUGAGGCAUUGAAACUCUGUAAUUGUGUUCCAGUUGGAAUCUCUCCAGAUAGAUUGUUAUAAGACAAAUCUAAGACGCCGAGUUGAUCAAUUUGAUUAAGACUUGGAGGAAUUGAACCAACUAGAUGGUUUCUUGACAAAUCAAGAAAGUCAAGUGAUGUUAACUUUCAAUUAUUUGAAGGAAUUUUUCCAGUCAAAUGGUUUCUUGAUAAAUUCAAUGAAACCAAUCCAAAUAAAUUCUCUAUUUCCAGUGGAAUUUCUCCGGAAAAGUGAUUGCUUGAGAGAUCAAUGCUUUUUAGAAGUAGUAACCCAUUAUUUUUGAACAUUUUUUCUGAACCUUUCCACAUCAAGAGUGCAUUCAAAUCAUAUGUUUGAUUAAUUGACGCGUAAGUGGUAUUGGCAUAAUAUGAAUGACCUUGAUAAUCUCUUGAAGAUGUCUUUUGAGUCAUUGAAGUAAAAUUUUUUAUGCAUUUAGGAAUUUGCCCAGACAUGUUGUUUAGUGAGAGAUCUGAGAUUUGAAUGCCACUUAGGUAGCAAAUUUGCAAUGGUAAACUUCCAUGGAAAUUAUAUCUUCCCAAACUUAAAAAUGGCAACUCUUAUAAUUCGCUCCCAAUCCAAGCAGGGAUGAGCCCUGAUAAUCUGUUUUCUGCAAUAUCUAGCAUUACUAGAUUUGUGCAACUCCUCAAUGAGAAAGGUAUCUCAUCUAUUAAGUUGUUGUUUCUCAAUAGCAAUGCUUGAAGAUGAAGAAGAGAUCCCAUGGAUGUUGGUAUCCUUCCUGAAAAAUUAUUGUGACUUAAGUCCAAAUAAGAUAAUGACUUGAAAUGGCUCCAACAAUCCGAAAUUUUUCCAGAGAAAUGAUUAUUUGAAAGGUCUAAUUGGUAUAAAUUUUCAAUUGUAUCAUUCAAACAUAAAAAUGAAAGAGAAUCUGAGAAUUUAUUUUUGGAUGAAUCAAGAAACUCAGAACCUCUCAGAAAUGAUGGAAUAGGGCCAUCAAAUUGAUUUGAUCCAAGAAUUAUGGAACGGUAAAGAUUCUUUAGUGGAAAAUUUGGAAUCAUACCAUGGAGAUUGUUGUAUGAAAUAUUCAUUGAAAUCAAUUCUCGAAAUGCUAAAUUAGCCCAAAACCACUUUGGAACCAUAUCUUCUAUUCCAGCAUUGGAAAUGUCAAUAUCCGAAACUUAAUUUUGUGUCUCCAACCAUUUGGGAAAUACUGGACCUAGCUUGCAAGAUUGCAAUCCUAUGUGGCUCAAUUGAAAUGGUGGGACCCAAUUUUUUCUAAAUGCCAAGGUUAGUAAAAAGUUGUCAGAUAACUCCAAGUAGUUUAACUUUAACAUAUUAGCGAAAUGAUAGUCAGUGAGCACACCCUUUAAGGAAUUUGAUUGCAGAUCUAGUUGCUUCAGUUGAGGUGGAAAUUUAAUAUCUUUAGAAAUCUCUCCAUUUAGCUUGUUUCCAUCAAGAUUUAAUAUUUUUAAAGAUGAGAACAUUGAGAGGUUGGGUAGUGUGCCGUUGAUUUGAUUCAUGCCUAGAUAUAAUUGUUCCAAUGAAUAUUUAGCACAUCCAAACAAGUAAUGGAUUAUCAUUGAAAACUCUUCACUCAAGCUAUUAUUGUACAUGUCCAGUGAGCACAAAGCACAUGCAUUCCCAAGUGAUUUUGGAAUUCCACCUUCUAAAGAUUUUGAUCUGACUGACAGAGAUUCCAUAUGAAAUGGUAAGCCGAUGUCUUCAGGUAUGUUUCCACUUAAUGGUAAGCCGGUGAUUUGAUUAUAUGUCAAAUCCAAUUCUUGUAACGAGUGUCUAACACAACCACUAGACAAAAUAUGUUGGAUUGACGGAAGGUCUUCACUCAAAAUGGUUUUCUGGCAUGGAUAAAGAACGUAAGGUGCAUACAUUCAUGAAGGACGUGAAAACCUCACCCUUGAAUCUAUUAUUUGAGAGGUCGAGGUGCUCAAGAGAAUUCAUUACACGACCAAAAUGGUUUGAUGUGGAACCCUCCAAGAGGUUAUAACUAAGGUCAAGCUCAACAAGGUUGGAAGUGACGUUGGACAGCCACUUGAGUAUCAUUGAUGACAUGAAGCUGUUCCAGGAAAGAUCAAGGAUGGAAAGGGAACUAGAAAAAUUGAAUUUAGAGGGCCUCGAUGAAAGGAUAAAAUGAUGGGAAAGGCUACAAUCAAAUAAGCUUAGUUCUCUUAGUUUUGGUAGCUUGGCAAUCAUUUGGAGGAAGCUACGAGGAGUGUUGAGAUUAGAUGUGGAGUGGAAGGAAAGAUGGGUUAAAGAAAAGAGAUUAGACAGCCAAUGAUCUCCAUCGUCAAUUUUGAGAGCACCACCAUCACCAUAAUAAUAUCCGCCAAGAUAAACCUUCUGCAAAUUUGAAAGGUUCCCAAGUUGGGACGGUAUACUUCCUUCAAAAGAAUUGUCACUUAGAUCAAGAUGCUGCAACUGGGAGAGAUUUCCAAUUUGAGAGGGUAUAUUUCCUUCAAAUUGAU